ensembl:lncRNA
GUGUAUCCUACAUACCAAGAGUGUUUUCGCAGGAGAAGCAGCUUGUCUGGACUUGGCCAGGAUUUAGGAGUCUGUGUCUACCUGAGAAAGCACAGCUGAGACAGCUGAGACAGAGGUGUGAGAGGACGUGUUGUUGUCCAGAGGGACAGCAGCAGCAGCAGCGGUGGGGAAAAAGACGAGGUGGAGGAGAGAAGUUCCAAAUAUCAGAGAGCUGCUGCUGUCACCACCUUCACAAUCAGCCUCUGUCUGCCUGACCCAGGACCUCACCUCUCCUUCAAUGGCUCCGGCUCUCUCUCUCUCUGUGGAGGAUGGGAAAAAAAGCAGGAAGGUGGAGGGGCACAACGGCUGGCUGGCGGCUUUUCUCACAACGAUAAGAUUUCUCACAAGACAGUCAUGACACCAAACUGUCAGUAACACGUCAUAAAAAAAUGAGACAUUAAUAAAUACCACCAUUGAUUUUGAAUGUUAUAGUAGAAGCUUGUCUGCGUUUCCAUCGUGUGAUAACUGGAGUUACAGAUAAUUUACAUAUUAGCUGAAUUUAGUCAAAUACUGAGCAGCCACACUGUUCCCACCCAGCAGCCACAGACAGAGGAGACAAAGAUCUGCUGCAGUCCUCUGGAGGUCUGUAUGAUUUGUACCUGUCAUGCUGGAGCUGUAUUACAGCAGUGCUUAAAAGCAACAAUCACAGGUGUAUUUCAGUAUUAGUGUGAUGCCUGUGCUACUCUACUGUCACACUUGCCCCCUUGUGGUACCCUGCAGAAACAUACAUAAAGAUAGAGCCGUUUAACCAAAGGAAAUGUAGCAUAAAAGAGUCUUACAGCAUGGUUUAAAGGUGUAACUCACCUGAAAGGGUAAUUAAAUGCUGUCUGUAUUUGGUCUACUUUGAAAAAAACAAAAACAAAGGAACGACUCCAAAUGAUUUUUCUAAGUCUUGUAUUAUUGCUUACAACUGAAAGCAGCAGUGUUAAUGUACUAAUCAUACUCUACCACUAGGGGGCAACAUUUCCAAUGCC